UACGAAGGGUGCAAGCGUUACUCGGAAUUACUGGGCGUAAAGCGUGCGUAGGUGGUUUGUUAAGUCUGUUGUGAAAGCCCCGGGCUCAACCUGGGAAUGGCAAUGGAUACUGGCAAGCUAGAGUGCGGUAGAGGGUAGUGGAAUUCCCGGUGUAGCGGUGAAAUGCGUAGAGAUCGGGAGGAACACCAGUGGCGAAGGCGGGCUACCUGGACCGAGCACUGACACUGAGGCA
rnacentral:rRNA from 1 species